CCGGUACAGAGUCAAUGUGGAGGCUAUAUACAGGGGGUACUGGUACAGAGUCAAUGUGGAGGCUAUAUACAUGGUGUUAUGGUACAGAGUCAAUGUGGAGGCUAUAUACAGGGGGUACCGGUACAGAGUCAAUGUGGAGGCUAUAUACAUGGUGUUACGGUACAGAGUCAAUGUGGAGGCUAUAUACAGGGGGUACUGGUACAGAGUCAAUGUGGAGGCUAUAUACAGGGGGUACUGGUACAGAGUCAAUGUGGAGGCUAUAUACAGGAGGUACCAGUACAGAGUCAAUGUGGAGGCUAUAUACAUGGUGUUAUAGUACAGAGUCAAUGUGGAGGCUAUAUACAGGGGGGUACUGGUACAGAGUCAAUGUGGAGGCUGUUUACAGGGGGUACCGGUGCAGAGUCAAUGUGGAGGCUAUAUACAGG
ensembl:lncRNA